rnacentral:rRNA from 1 species
CCUACGGGUGGCAGCAGUGGGGAAUAUUGGGCAAUGGGCGCAAGCCUGACCCAGCAAUGCCGCGUGCAGGAAGAAGGCUUUCCGGUUGUAAACUUCUUUGUCUGGGGAAGAGCCGCAGACUGUAUCCUGAACACUAGCUACGGCUAACUACGUGCCAGCAGCCGCGGUCAUACGAAGGUGGCAAGCGUUGUCCGGAUUUACUGGGUGUAAAGGGCGUGUAGCCGGGAAGGCAAGUCCGAGGUGAAAUCUGGAGGCUCAACCUCCAAAUUGCAUUUGAAACUGUUUUUCUUGAGUACGGGGAAGGCAGACGGAAUUCCUUGUGUAGCGGUGAAAUGCGUAGAUAUAAGGAGGAACACCAGUGGCGAAGGCGGUCUGCUGGAGAGGAACUGACGGUGAUGCGCGAAAGCGUGGGGAGCGAACAGGAUUAGAUACCCCGGUAGUC